rnacentral:rRNA from 1 species
UACAGAGGUGGCAAGCGUUGUUCGGAAUUACUGGGCGUAAAGGGCGCGUAGGCGGCCUUCUAAGUCAGACGUGAAAUCCCCAGGCUUAACUUGGGAACUGCGUCUGAUACUGGAAGGCUUGAGUGCGGGAGAGGGAUGUGGAAUUCCAGGCGUAGCGGUGAAAUGCGUAGAUAUCUGGAGGAACACCGGUGGCGAAGGCGGCAUCCUGGACCGACACUGACGCUGAGGCGCGAAAGCUAGGGGAGCAAACGGG